rnacentral:rRNA from 1 species
AUGGCGCCGAGGGACAUCAAGAUCGAAGCAAAUACCAUCGAUGAUGCAGCAGGUGGGAUACUCCGUAUUUUGGAGGGUGCGAGCAAACACGAACGAAAUAUCUACUUCCAUGGCUGGUGUGGACUUGGAGCAUCCGCUACUCUGAGAAUGGUAGCCCAACGCUUGAAAUCAUCAGCCACUGAAGAAAUGAAGUUUGACAAGGUUGUUCAUGUGGAUUGCUCGUUGUGGCAAGGAAUGAGAGCCCUGCAAAAGGCAAUUGUUGAGGUGCUGGAGCUUCCCCAGUCGGUGAUGGCCAUAUUCGACCAGCACGAUGAGGAGGAGGAUUUCGAUGGGAUAGACCAAGGCUCCAGAGGGGUGAUAUUGGAGGUCACAGAGGAGAUCUUCAGAAAGCUUCUUAACAGUACAUUUGUUGUGAUUUUUCACAACGGGAGCGGCCACUACAUUGAUUUGUACCAGUGUGGUGUCCCUGUAACAAUAUUUUUGAGUAGCAAGGUGUUGUGGACCUGGGGCAGGAGGCUCCGACUCAUUGACAGAUCUGAUGUUGAUGAAGUCCAUAAAACUCCGACUGAGGCUGAUAUUGUGGUGAGAGGUCUAGAAUUUAUGGGAAAUAUAUUGCAUGAAGAGGCCGCAGAGGUUGCUAAGUACAUUGGUAUUCUUGAGCCUGACAGAAUAGUUGAGUGCCUCCAGUACAUCUGGGCAAGAAGACGUGUCAGCCGUAUCGACUGGGAAACGCAUGCUUCAAACUAUUGGGUAUGUGAUGGGAUUAUACAAGAGCAAGACAAUGUAUCUGGAUGGAAGGUUAGUGAUGCUCUGCACAGACUCAUACACUUGGAUUGGAUGAAGGAGGUAGAUAAUCCCUACUGA